rnacentral:rRNA from 1 species
UACGAAGGACCCAAGCGUUAUCCGGAUUUAUUGGGUUUAAAGGGUGCGUAGGCGGAUUAUUAAGUCAGUGGUGAAAUCUCCGGGCUCAACCCGGAAACUGCCAUUGAUACUAUUAGUCUUGAAUUCUGUUGAGGUGGGCGGAAUACAUCAUGUAGCGGUGAAAUGCUUAGAUAUGAUGUAGAACACCGAUUGCGAAGGCAGCUCACUAAGCAGACAUUGACGCUGAGGCACGAAAGCGUGGGGAUCAAACAGG